rnacentral:lncRNA from 1 species
AUGCUCCUGGGGCUUAGUCUGAAAAGACAGAUGGAAGGACUCCUGUUUCCGGAAUAUACCCUCAGCUCGGAAAUAUACCCUCUGUGGUCCCUGAGCCUCACCUGGGACCUCACGUCAUCUCCCGUUAGCAGGGCCGGCCAUCUUCCUGGGCAGGGCAAGCCCUCUGCACCCCGCCCCCACCCCCCUCCCUUUCCCCCACGCAGAACUAAGCCAGCGCCCUCACAAAGGGGCACCCAUGCCUUGUGCUUUGCAGCUGACCUCACAUGGGAGGAAUCUGCCUCUCCCCAGCUCAUGACUGUCAGUCCCAGGGCAGCAGACCCUGCUCCAGGAAGUCACACCGGUCUUAUGGGUUUCCAUGGACUAGAAUCUGCCAGAUCUACCUCCCGCCCUCUGAUUCACAGCGCAAGCAGCUGGGACUCAGAACAGGGGUCCUCCAGUCAGCAAGUGGAGCAAGUCUGGGUGUGUCUGCUCCCAGGCCAGCCCCUCCACCAGAGAAGGCAGAGAUGUCUAUUAAGUCCCAUAGAUAUGGGCCACACUGGAGCGGUAGCGUCCAAAGGUGACAGAGGAGCAGUGGAGAGCUGCAAAGCAGAGGACAGGUGAGCAGGAAAUUGCUGGAGAGUGGCUGAAAAGCUACUUUCCUGCCACUCAGGUUUUACUAGGAGGCCUGCUUGGAGUGGGAUGGGGGGUUGGUGCAUGAAGGGGAGAAGGUCAGAAGGCUCUGGGGGAGAAAGGUGAGCCCAGAGCUUCCUCUUACAGGCAAGUCUUUGCGUGCAUGGCUGUAGCUUUACCCUCUCUCUAUCCCGUGGUCCAGCCUCCAGCACUCUUCCUCCAAGGGGUUUCAGGCCCCAGGCACCCCCAAACCACCUCUCUCCCCAGCUUAGGAACACAACUGAGAAACCUGGCGUUGGAGGAGACUUCACAGUCAUCAGAUUCAACCCUGACUUGUAUCACAUGAAGGAUGACACAGUCUAGAGAGGGAACAGAAGGGCAGGGGUCACACAGGGGGUCAGCAGCAGGCCCCGGCCAGGUCCAGAUCUCCAGAUUUCCGGAGUUCACCUUUACUCACCUCUGUGUCUUUGCACAUUCCAUUCUCUCUACUGGAAUGCCCUUUUUUUCAUCUCCUGCCUUAUUGACUUUUUUGAACACUCAGAGCUGAUUGAGAGCUGCCCAUGUCCCUGUGUUCCAGGCAUUUAGGGGUACAGCUUUGAACGAAACAGGUGAAAGUCCCCACCCUCCCAAAACUUUCAUUCCAGUGUGGAGAGAAAGUGGCAAGUGACAUAAACACAUACCUGGAAUAUAAAGCAUGUUAGAAAUACUAUGUAGAAAAAAUAAGGUAGGAAAGAGGCCUAGGGAGUGUUAUGGGAUUGGAUGUUGUAUAUUUUAUUUUAUUUUUUUGGCUGUGCAGCAUACCAUGUGGGAUCUUAGUUCCCCAACCAGGAAUCAAACUCGUACCCUGUGCACUGGAAGCAUAAAAUCUUAACCACUGGGCAACCAGGGAAGUCCAAUGUUGGGUAUUUAAAUGAAAUGGUUAGGAAAGGCCUACAGCAAGAACCCAAAGGAGUUGGGUCAGGAUGAGGAUAGGCAGGGGAGAAGGAACAGCAGGGGCCAUGUCCCCAGGAGGCAUGUUCUGAAAUCAGAAAGGAGGCCAGUAUAACUGGGCAUGUAUGGAUGAUGGAAACAGCUGUAAGAGGUGAGGGUGGAGGAGUGGGUGAUACUGGGCAGUGGGAGAAAUCAUGAAGCAACUUGGGCUUUUAUGGUGAGUGAGAUGAGAAGGCUCUUCGUAGUACUGCCCAGAGGAGUGGCGUCAUCUGACUUUUAAAAUGUUCUCUCUGGCUAGCUUGGAAGCGGGCAGCCACAGUAAUGGAGCAGCUGCCUAGAGCUGGGGUGACAGUAGAGGCAGGGAGAAGUGGUCAGAUGAUAGAUAUGUCUUGACAAUAGAAUCAGUGAGAUUCCCUAACAGAUUAGCUGCAAGGUAUAGGUGAGAGCAAACAAUGACUCAAAAGUUCUUGGCCUGAAUGACUGUAAGGAUGGAGCUGCCAUUUAACAGCGACAGAGAAGACCGCAGGAGGGGCUGGCUUUGUGGGAAAAGUCAACAGUGAGCUUUGAGACAUGUUGUUUGAAGUGCCCCUUAGACACACCCAAGUAGAACUGUCAAGUAGGCAAUGAGAUACACUAGAAGGAGAGUUCAGAAAAAGGUUCAUGCUGUAGACAUAAAUUUGGAAAUCAUCAGCAUAUAAAUGGCAUGUGAAGUCAUGAGCCAGGAUUAAGUCAUCAAGGGAAUGAAUACAGAUAGAAGAGGUCCCAGGACCAUCCCCUGAAUCACUCCAGUGUCAAAGGGUCAGAUGAGAAGCAACAAGUCAAAAAACUGGGACAAAAUGAGAAGGAGCAGGUGGUGAGGUAAGAAAUUCACCAGGAGAAUAAGGCAUCCUGGAAGACGAGUAGAAACAGUAUUGACUGGAAAGGAUGAACACCUGGGGAAACACUGUAAAGAUGAGAACUGAGUAUGUCUGUUUGGCUGGGCAACAUGGAAUCCACUGAUGACCUUGACAAAGGUAGCCAAGGGCUGCGGUGUGGAUGAAAGCCAGACCGCAGUGAUUCCAAGAGCAAAUGAGAAGAGAGGGCUUAGGAGCAAUGAGGAUAGAAAGCGUUCUCCAAAAAUCUUAUAGGGAAGAGGAGCAGAUAAAUGGGAAAAUAACCAGUGCUAAUUCCUGUCCUCCAGUUUCUUCUGAACUUUGCUCAUGGCUUUGCCCUUCCCUUGCUGGGAAGCUGUCACUGACAGACCAAAGUCUAUGAGUCUUGACCAAAGUCAAGUCAGCUCUACCCUGACUGCUCUCGAGCCCAUGCUCAUUUCAACCUCAUCUCCUCACUCUUUGCUCCUGCCUGUAGAAGCCUGGAUCCAGCGUGGGAUUUCCCACUUCUUCUCUGUUCCUGUGGAGCUCUUCUGCAAGUAACUCCAUGACUUACUUCUGCACCUCAUUCAGACUUCUACUCGAAUGUCACGUCCCUGAGAUGGCUCCUCCAGCCAUGCUGCCUAAAAUAGGCCCCUCACUCCACCAUGCUGUUUAUCUCAUUAGAGUGAUCAUCAGCAUUUGAACUUAUGGUAUUUAUUUGUGUGCUUGUUUCGCUAGGAAAAUAAGUUCAUGAGAAGAGAGCUCUUGAUUGUACUAGUUCCUCGACUUGCCCAGUACUCAGGACCAUACUUUGCAUGUGUGUGAGUACACACAUCUUGAUUGUACUAGUUCCUCGACUUGCCCAGGACUCAGGACCAUACUUUGCAUGUGCGUGAGUACACAGUCACUCAGUCAUGUUCAGUUCUUUGCAACCCUCUGGCCUGUAGCUCACCAUGGUCCUCUGUCCAUAGGAUUCUCAGGGCAAGAAUACUGGUAUGGGUUGUCAUUUCCUACUCUAGGGGGUUCUCCCAACCCAGGGAUCAAAGAUGCUUCUCCUGCAUGUCCUACAUUGGCAGGCAGAUUCUUUUACCUCUGAGCCACUUGAGAAGCCUCAUAUUUGGCACAUGGUUUCUCAGCAUGCCCAAUAUAUCUGUCACUUACAUAAAUACUCCUUAAAGUAACGUUUACUUAUGUUAAAAAGAUGCAAACAUGUUUUCCCAUAAAAAAAUGUAACCUGUAAUAUCUGGUUGUUGUUCCUGAUGACAGAAAACUUAAUGCAUUCACAUCCAGAUAAACUCAAUCAACUCUGGCUUAACUUCAAGCAUUGUAAGAUCCUCUCUCCUAUCCCUUCUCCUCUUAGCCUCAGAUUAUCUUAAGUUUGCUUUCUGAAAGCUAUACGGUUUUAGAUCUCUGCCAUGAAUCCCCAACUGGAGCUGAAACUCCAAUACUUUGGCCACCUGAUGCGAAGACCUGACUCAUUGGAAAAGACCCUGAUGCUGGGAAAGAUUGAAGGCGGGAGGAGAAGGGGAUAGCAGGGAAUGAGGUGGUUAGAUGGCAUCACUGACUUGAUGGACAUGAGUUUGAGCAAGCUCUGGGAGUUGGUGACGGACAGGCAAGCCUGGCAUGCUGCUCUCUAUGGGUCAUAAAGUGUCAGACAUGACUGAGCGAAUGAACUGAACUGAACGGAUGAAUCCCCAAACCUUAGAAACCUUCAGACUUUUCUUUUGAAGAUCCAGCCCUUGACUCUACUCUGGGGUCUGCGCUGCUGGCCAGAUGGAAGACUCAGGGAGUUUUGUACACAAAAAUGGAUGAGAUUGAAAUAUUCCAAAGUUUCACCUCUCCAUGUCAUGUCUCCUUCUUCCUGGCACUAGUGAUCAUUUGACUUUGUAAACAUUUCUUCCUCUCCAUUAAUAGUCUCAAGCUUUAGAGAGGAAAGUCAGAAACCCAUCUUUCCUCCAGCGUCUGCCUUCACUCUUUUUGGUGGUAUUUCUGUGCUUCAUGCUUCAGUCCUCCACUCCCGUCCAUGGCAAUACAAGGCCCCCAGCCAUUCUCCACCCUUGCCUCUAAGUAGUUCCAAGCAGCAGGUGGAGCUAACUGGCUAUAAGGCCAAACAAAAUAGUGAAGUCUGCAUUUAGGGGUGAGAUAGGAGAGACAGUCCUGGCAUUUCUGCAGGCACUAGGAGCUAUUAGAGCCACGCCGGCCUCAGCCCUUCUUGGGAGGGGAGGGGUGUUGUGCUGUGCCCCUUCCCAGGAGGCAGGAAGGGGAAAAGGGGAAGAGGGGCUGAAACCAGGGUAAGUAUAGUGUGAUUUUAUGUGGGGAAGGAGGAGCAUUCAGUCUAUCUAAAGUUCAAGGAGUCCCCUCUUCUAUGCUGUGCUGUGUAAUAUCAGUUUAAAAAUAGUUUGUGAUUUUUGUCCAUGACUCCUAAAUGCAAUUCAACCCCUUCAUCCAGUGCUUAACCAAUCAAAUAGCAAUUGAUCUAGUGUGAAGGGGAGAGGAAAUUAGGAUUGUAAAGACCCUUCUUAGGUAGCUCAGUGAUAAAGAACCUGCCUGCCAAUGCAGGAGAUGUGGGUUCAGUCCCUGGGUUGGGAAGAUCCCCUGGAGGAGGCAAUGGCAACCCACUCCAGUAUUCUUGCCAGGAGAAUCCCAGAGACAGAGGGGUGUCGAAGAGUUGGUCAUGACUGAGCACGUAUGCACACACUUUUAAAGACACAUUUAAGCCUCCCCAAUUUGUCCCCUCCUGAGUUUUCUGCCAUUGAAAUGAUUCCUCUUUUUUUUCCAGCUUUAUUGAGAUGUAAUUGACAUAUAUCAUAUAAGUUUAAGGAGUACAAUGUGAUACAUUGAUAAACAUAUAUAUUACAAAAUAUUUACCACAAUAAGGUUAGUUAACGUAUCCAUCUUAUAAUUACCAUUUAUUUGUGUGUGUGGUAAUUUAAGAUCUCCUCUCUUAGUAGCUUACAAAUAUCAUUAAAUUCCAGAGCUUAUUUAUUUUCUAACUGGAGGUUUGUACCCUCCAAACAAUACCUUCUCAUACCCCUACCAUCACCCCACCCAGUCCUUAGCAACCACCACUCCACUCUGUUUC